CGCAAGCCUGACGGAGCAACGCCGCGUGUGGGAAGAAGGCUCUUGGGCUGUCAACCACUUUUCUCAGGGAAGAAGUCCUGACGGUACCUGAGGAAUCAGCCUCGGCUAACUCCGUGCCAGCAGCCGCGGUAAUACGGAGGAGGCAAGCGUUAUCCGGAAUUAUUGGGCGUAAAGCGUCCGCAGGGGGCACAUCAAGUCUGCUGUUAAAGGCUGGAGCUUAACUCCGGUAGAGCAGUGGAAACUGGUGUGCUAGAGGGCGACAGGGGUAGAGGGAAUUCCCAGUGUAGCGGUGAAAUGCGUAGAGAUUGGGAAGAACACCGGUGGCGAAAGCGCUCUACUGGGUCGCACCUGACCCUCAGGGACGAAAGCUAGGGGAGCG
rnacentral:rRNA from 1 species